UUGGGCGUGGCUGCCUUUUUAAGUGAAAUUGGAGGUGGAGAUCACAUCCUGAUUUCAUUUGUGCAAAGCAGAAUGCCCAGAUUUUAUUUCCUUCAGCCAAACGCAUAAAGAGGUAGCAGAGAAAGAUCUGUUUGGAAUAAUGCCAGAAUCAACCAGAAUGCUUUGCUAUCUUUUUAUGGCUGGUUGUGCAAUAAUGCUCACUCCUAGUGGUGCACUGAAAUCCCUG